CCUACGGGAGGCAGCAGUGGGGAAUUUUGGACAAUGGGCGCAAGCCUGAUCCAGCAAUGCCGCGUGCAGGAUGAAGGCCUUCGGGUUGUAAACUGCUUUUGUACGGAACGAAACGGCGAGCUCUAAUAAAGUUCGCUAAUGACGGUACCGUAAGAAUAAGCACCGGCUAACUACGUGCCAGCAGCCGCGGUAAUACGUAGGGUGCAAGCGUUAAUCGGAAUUACUGGGCGUAAAGCGUGCGCAGGCGGUGAUGUAAGACAGAUGUGAAAUCCCCGGGCUCAACCUGGGACCUGCAUUUGUGACUGCAUCGCUAGAGUACGGUAGAGGGGGAUGGAAUUCCGCGUGUAGCAGUGAAAUGCGUAGAUAUGCGGAGGAACACCGAUGGCGAAGGCAAUCCCCUGGACCUGUACUGACGCUCAUGCACGAAAGCGUGGGGAGCAAACAGGAUUAGAUACCCUGGUAGUCCACGCCCUAAACGAUGUCAACUGGUUGUUGGGUCUUCACUGACUCAGUAACGAAGCUAACGCGUGAAGUUGACCGCCUGGGGAGUACGGCCGCAAGGUUGAAACGUCAAAGGAUUGACGG
rnacentral:rRNA from 1 species